UACGUAGGGUGCAAGCGUUGGCCGGAAUUAUUGGGCGUAAAGAGCUCGUAGGCGGUCUGUUGCGUCGGCUGUGAAAACCCGGGGCUCAACUCCGGGCCUGCAGCCGAUACGGGCAGACUAGAGUUCGGCAGGGGAGACUGGAAUUCUCGGUGUAGCGGUGAAAUGCGUAGAUAUCGAGAGGAACACCUGCGGCGAAGGCGGGUUGCUGGGCUGACACUGACGCUGAUGCGCGAAAGCUAGGGGAGCGAACGGG
rnacentral:rRNA from 1 species